rnacentral:rRNA from 1 species
UGAGUAACCUGCCCUUAACUCUGGGAUAAGCCUGGGAAACUGGGUCUAAUACCGGAUAUGACUCCUCAUCGCAUGGUGGGGGGUGGAAAGCUUUUUGUGGUUUUGGAUGGACUCGCGGCCUAUCAGCUUGUUGGUGAGGUAAUGGCUCACCAAGGCGACGACGGGUAGCCGGCCUGAGAGGGUGACCGGCCACACUGGGACUGAGAUACGGCCCAGACCCCCUAGGGAGGCAG